UGCGUAGGUGGUUUGAUAAGUUGGGUGUGAAAGUCCUGAGCUUAACUUGGGGAUUGCGCUUAAUACUGUUGAGCUAGAGUACUGUAGAGGAAGGUGGAAUUUCCAGUGUAGCGGUGAAAUGCGUAGAUAUUGGAAGGAACAUCAGUGGCGAAGGCGACUUUCUGGACAGAUACUGACACUGAGGCACGAAAAGCGAUGGGGAGGCAAACA
rnacentral:rRNA from 1 species